rnacentral:rRNA from 1 species
AGUGAACGCUGGCGGUAGGCCUAACACAUGCAAGUCGAACGGCAGCACAGUAAGAGCUUGCUCUUACGGGUGGCGAGUGGCGGACGGGUGAGGAAUAUAUCGGAAUCUACUUUUUCGUGGGGGAUAACGUAGGGAAACUUACGCUAAUACCGCAUAUGACCUACGGGUGAAAGCAGGGGAUCUUCGGACCUUGCGCGAUUGAAUGAGCUGAUGUCGGAUUAGCUAGUUGGGGGGGUAAAGGCCCACCAAGGCGACGAUCCGUAGCCGGUCUGAGAGGAUGAUCAGCCACACUGGAACUGAGACACGGUCCAGACUCCUACGGGAGGCAGCAGUGGGGAAUAUUGGGCAAUGGGCGCAAGCCUGAUCCAGCCAUCCCGCGUGUGUGAAGAAGGCCUUCGGGUUGUAAAGCCCUUUUGUUGGGAAAGAAAAGCAGCAGGUUGAGACGCCGCUGUUCUGACGGUACCCAAUGAAUAAGCACCGGCUAACUUCGUG